GACGAACGCUGGCGGCGUGCUUAACAUAUGCAAGUCGAACGGAAAGGCCCUGCUUUUGUGGGGUGCUCGAGUGGCGAACGGGUGAGUAACACGUGAGUAACCUGCCCUUGACUUUGGGAUAACUUCAGGAAACUGGGGCUAAUACCGGAUAGGAGCUCCUGCUGCAUGGUGGGGGUUGGAAAGUUUCGGCGGUUGGGGAUGGACUCGCGGCUUAUCAGCUUGUUGGUGGGGUAGUGGCUUACCAAGGCUUUGACGGGUAGCCGGCCUGAGAGGGUGACCGGCCACAUCGGGACUGAGAUACGGCCCAGACUCCUACGGGAGGCAGCAGUGGGGAAUAUUGCACAAUGGGCGGAAGCCUGAUGCAGCAACGCCGCGUGCGGGAUGACGGCCUUCGGGUUGUAAACCGCUUUCGCCUGUGACGAAGCGUGAGUGACGGUAAUGGGUAAAGAAGCACCGGCUAACUACGUG
rnacentral:rRNA from 1 species